UUUAAAUGUACCCUGUAGAGUUUUUGACCUCUACUAGCGCUAGUGUUGUUUUGUUUGAAUUGUGCAUGCACACAAGGACGCAAGCAACACAAUACACACUGCUGCCACCGGAACCACACUACAGACUCGGUAGACUCUAUUUAUAAAACAACUUGAGAAUCGCUGUCUCAGAUGCCCAUCUGCCUUUGAAGAAUAUGGAUUAGAGAGCUGGACGGACAGAUGCUAAAAGGAAUCAGCGUCUUGUAUGAAGCAGGGCUAAUCUUCCCUUUGAUAUUGACAACAUCAAAUAGAAAAGUACUUGAACCUAAAAUGCUAUACACUGAAAUGGCUCUUCCUCACAGGGGAAAACAGACAACGCAAUCAAGCUGACAAUACAGAUCUCUGUUUUCGAGAUCAAAAUCAAACUGUGAAUAAACAUGCCUGAUGACCUUU